UGUCCUUUCUGUCUGACGCAGACUCCAGUAGCCCCCUUGAUGUUCCCCUGGAUUGUAGUCUGUGCAGCAUGAUGCUGUGUGUGCUGUCUUUGACUUCUGCCAUUUUCUUCUUUCUCUUGUCAUCUCUGUUGGCCUGUCUACUCUGCAGAAAAAUAGCUAAAGACCCUCAAGUUCAUCAAAAUGUAACCCAUCAGAAUCAGGACACAACUGAAGUGUGUUACGCUGCACUGGAUGUUCGCCGAGCAAAACGGAGGCCAAAGAAGAGCGACCAAAACUCUGAAUUCUGCACCUAUUCAGCCAUUAACACAAGCAGAAUAUGAAGGACCGCCGGAU